rnacentral:lncRNA from 1 species
AAAAUAUAAUUAAUAAAAUAGAAAACGAAAGAUGCUUCUCACAAACGCGACCCUCUCCCUCAACACGGACAAAACCGAACCCUAAACGCCUCUCCGUCGCGAACUUCUCCCUCUUUGCAACAAAGCCCUAAACGCCUCUCCACGAAUCCCCUCUCUCCGAUGCCUCUCGGCGAACCUUCCUUCCUCUGCGACGAAAUCCUUUCUACUACCACCGGUGACUUUGUUCUUCCGCCUCGUUGUUCAGAGUUUUCAAGGUUAAAUCGGUUUUCCUUUCGAUUCUAGUCUUCUCAUUCUUCAAUAGAUUCUGAUUCUAAUUUUCCUUUUGUUUUGCUUCAUUUUGCUUUCAGAGUUUUCAAGGGUUUUUCAACAGUUCUCUUCGUUGUUUCCGCCAUCAUUACGUUCAAGUCUUAAUCAAUAUGUAUCCCUAUUUCUUCAGUAAGUAGAUCCGAACUAUGUUUAUCUCAAUCUUAAUUUUCUAUGAUGUGUGAUACUGUGGUUUCUAAGCUUCGAUUUGGAAUCUGGUAGUUCUGUCCCGAAUUUGCGAUUAGACAAUUUUUUCCCACGUUCUUAAUGCUUGUAGAUUUCUCCACACAUUUAGUUAUCAGUAACUUAUUUAACACCAGUGAUAAUUUAUUCUAGUUAAAUAUAUGAAAUAAGGUAUAAAGAGGUGCUUUUGGUAAAGGUACUUUAAUCUACUGUUCAAUAUCCGCUAAUUUUUGUCAAAUAGAGUCAUACUCUCGUGGAAAUUUGUCUUUGAAAUAACCGAAAUCCCUAAUUUUAUCUUUACCAUUCUGAUUGUAGGAAACUCUCCAGUGUAUGUACAUGUUUUGGAUAUAGAGAUUGGGAACAUGUAGGAAAGCAUUCUAAAUCUGAAUUACCACUUUUGAUGGUUAUGUAAGUUUAUAAUAUAUUUUUGUUGGAUUGCAUACUCUUUAUUUGAUAGNNNNNNNNNNNNNCAUGUACUGAUUGCUUGUAGAAUUUUUGCUUGUGCUUUUUCUCUUCUAAUUUGGUAGUUUAGAAGCAGUGAUGAUUCUUAUGGACGAUUGUACUUUUUAGCAAUAUUGUGAUCAGAAUUUUGUAUUCUAUGUAGGUUAUACAUUUUAUGGAUAUGGUUAUACUUGAAGAACCAAUAGAGGGGUAUCAUUAGUUGAAGCUUGUUUGGAAUCUUCAUUUUUAGUUCUCUUCAUUGACCAACUUAUUAAAAUGAUAUACUAUUCUCAAGUUCUAUCAAUAGACAGACAUUGAUUAUUAUCAUAACUUUCAGGAUAUAUUACAAACUCAAUGGCACUAAGGAUUGGUUGCUUUAAUCAAAGGAAUUUUCUAUUUGUCAUGCGAGAAGUUAAAGUUUGAAAUAAUAUGGUUGGUCUCUUGAACCCUUAAGUUAGCAUGUGAAAAAUUUAAAUUGAACGUGAUGUAUUGUCAGACACUAUUUAUUGUGAGUAUAUAAGUUUUGUUUGUCUUUAGCUUUAGAGCAUACCCUUUUGUUUGUCUUUAGUUAGCAUUUGGUAGAAUUAGAAAAUGUGUCUAAUGCUUAGUAUAUAUCAUAAGUAAAACCGAUACUAUUCUUUGGCACUGAUCUAUUGAUUUGUUCUUUUCUAUUGUGAUUCUUUCUUAUCUUGUAGACAUUUCCUGUUAUGUUUUUAUGGAAUAAUUGGCAAUUGGCAUGACUUAGUUUUUGCAAGGAGUUGAAAAAUUUAAGAGUUAAAGGUAAUAUCUAUAUCUUAUAUAAAGAUCUUUCUUGAUUGAAUCUUCCUGUAUAUUAAGACUUUAGAAGUUUCACCACGGAGGUGAUGGUGAUGAGUUUGUCAGAAUAUUAUUUCAUCAUUUGAAAAGAUUGUGCAGUAUAGAGAGGCUAGAUAGAACACUAGUAAGGUUUAUGAUGCCAUCAUCAACCGAAAAGUAUGUAGAUUGGAAUAAAGACUCAUUUUUUAAAUUAAUUAUAUCUUUAUAGGUGAAAAAAAGAUCAUAUCUAACUCUUAAAUGCCACCAUCUUUGUUUCAUUGUAGAGAGGGCUGAUGUUUAAGUUUCAAUUUCCCAUCUUGGUUGAUUGCUAGUUAACUAUGUGUUGGUAAUCAUUAUCAUAGUAUUUUAAAGAGAUUUAUUCAAUUAUCAUACUUGAGUACCGCUGCUAGUUGUCUUACAGCAAUAGGUUGGAUAUUAUAUAUAGGGAGCUUUUGUAACAUUACUCUUGUGCUUCCAGAGACUGGUUUAUGAAUGACUUUUGGGGAUUUGAGAUUUUGAUUUAUGCAGAAAUUUUGGGACUGUUUUAUUCAUGUAUUAAUUAAGCUUGUUUUGUUGUCUGUUUUAGAUCAUCAAACACUGCUACAAAUGUCAUUCAGACACCUUCACAAGCUAAGUGAGUUUGAUUCUAAUAAAUCUCCGACACGAUCACAUCAGUCAAUUAUUUAUUCAAUGCCUUUCACUUCUCUUCACUUUUUUACAAGAAGAUUUGAGAGGUUAGACUAUGUGUGGGUUUAAAAUAAUAUUGAAUGUUGUAUUGAAAAGUGUGGAUGUGUUGAUUAUUUCAAUUGAGUAUUAUUGAAAUUCCUUGAUAGCUUUGUGAUAUUGGUUGUUGUUGGCUUUAUUUUCUCUAAGUUGUCAAUUUUAUUAAGCUUUUUUGUUGAGCUGAGUUUAUCUUCUUUUUUUUUCCUUUUCAGAAUUAAAAGGUCUGAGGACAUCCCUGUGGAAAUAUGGAGAGGAUUGAUUCAACCCAGCGAUUUUAAGAAUCGUCUCCUGAAACCAACUUAUGAGUUAACUGUUAAAGGAGGAGACAAAGUUAAGCAUACAAAUUGAAGGAAUUGAGGUUACAAGUAUAAAUUUGUAACUUUAUGGUUUAUAAUUGAUGAUUCUAGGUAUAUAUUAACUCUACUAUUAUGGAAUGAUUUUAGUAUAUAUAAGUAUAAUUUAUGCUAUUAGGUGUAUGAUACUCUAUUAUUAUAGUAUGAUGAUUUUAGUGUAGAAGUAUAAUUUUNN